AUAGCAUCUUUGGCGAAUAUCUUUUAAUUUAAUAGAUCUACAUGUAGUGGACAUUCGAGGAAAUUUCACAUUGUAAGAGGGGAUUGCCUCAACCGGAUCUAACUGCUAAAUGACGAGUGAUAAACGAGUAGAGGGGCAAUAACUUCAUAUUUUUUAUUAAUGUGCAGCUGAAACCACACGUGCAUAGUGCAGGCCAAAUGCCUUCAAAUGUGAUGGAACUCUAGCCGGACGCAUUACCAAACAUCCAUAAUUCGGUGAUUACUUCGAUAAAAAACCAAUUAAAGUGAUUUUACAUCAGGAGAGCAGAACAAAUCAAAAUGUUUUCAAACAUAAUCAUUUUUCUUCUCGUUGUGAUCAGCGUUCAAAGCCAAGUUGCACCUGAUCAGCCUUCACUAAGGGAUGCAAGCAACAGUGUUGUUAGUGAGGUCACCGUAAAUCUUGGAGAAACUUUCACGUUCAGAUGUGUAAAGGGAGCUGGCGGAGUGGACCCGGACUCAUAUGAAUUCUACAAAGGUGGUAACAGGGCUACAGACGGUGUGACAGGCGCGACAUUAAGCAAGGUUGCAGUGAAAUCGGACGGCGGUUGGUAUUACAAGUGCAAGGCAGUAAAAGAUGGAUUAGCCAGCGUCGAAUCUGUUGGUGUUGUUCUAACAGUAAAAGUUCCUCCGCAUAAACCCUUGAUCAAGAAUUCCGCUGGCCAAGUCAUGGCAUCCUUAGCACUAAACGCGGGACAAACAUUCACAUUCACGUGCACAAAGGCGGAUACGGGAGUUGACCCGGACGCGUGGGAACUGUUCCACAACGACGUCAAAAUAAUAACCGGUGUGACAGGGGCAACCUUAUCGACAACGAUGGC